GGCAACAAGACGGUAACACAUCUCAGAGACUUCCAGGACAACAAGACCUGGUAACACAUUUCAGAGGUUUCCAGGACAACAAGACCAGCUCAGAGACGCCUUAAUUCGUACCCACUGUGAAAAUGGCUGACUAUGAGAGAUGCAACAUAUGCAAAACCACCAACUGAUCAGGACCUAGGAGGACAAGGGGGGGGGUACAAGCCAGGAUACAACGGAACAGCUUCUAGAAACUAAUAGGGAUCUGCUACAUGUACGUGUAAUGAGAGAGGUAGUGGGGUUAGUUCCCAGGAUCAAGGAGAUACAACGAGUAGAAGUACU